CUGGAAAGAGGAAAACCACAAUGGCUUGAUGACAGCAAGCUGACAAUGGAACAGAACUUUGUGGGCUGAGAUGAUUAUACUAAGGUGAUGUUAUGGCAACAACAAUAAGAGCUGCUUCUCCAUCACAAGUACUUUAUGACGUUGUGUAGAACACUUUGGCUUCAAUUACGCUUGUGAAAGAGUAACCACUUCUCUCUAAACUACAAAAAGAAGGUUUAUAUUUCAGUAAGCAUUGUUAAUGGGGAAGUCAAAGAACUUGGCUCUCUGGAAACUGAUUCUACUCCAACUGCCCGGAGCACAAAUCUUGCUUUGUUGACAUCAACGCAAGCUCUCCUGAGGACACACAAAGAAGAGAAGAAGCCAUUAGAAUUUCUCGUGACCCUGCUCCGAGACAAAUCCAGCUUCGCUUAAAUGAAUGAAAAUGCUUGUUACAUGGCUCAAGAAGCUACUUUGUCCAUUUGAAAAUUAAUUAGACCGUAGCUAGACGAACAACUAAGUCUCUUCAGAAUGGGCAAAGCAGCUUCAUGAAGUCAUCAAAGACUCAGAUUUGUUGUUCACCAUUCUCAACACAUGGCUCUCACCUCAUGGUACAAGAUGACUGCUUGGGUUCCAGCCAUUACAGUUACACAAAGGAUGAAGGCCCAGCUGAGCCAAGCCUUUGAGUCAUCGCAGCCCAGGCGCCAGACUUGUGAGUGAAGGAGGCUCCAGAUGAUUCUAACCCUCAGCUCCUGAGUCACCGCCAACUGCUGGAGUCUUCCCAGCUGAGGCCGCAGACAUCACGGAGCAGAGAAAACACGAGUCAUCCCAGCUAUGUCCUGUCCAAAUUCCUGGCCUACACAAUCGAUGAGGAAGCUGAGACUCAGAAAGCUUAUUUGCCCAAGAUUACACGGAAUGGAAUGGAAUGGAAGCUUCUUCAUUUAAAUUCUGCACAGGAUGUGUAUUACGGAUUCAUGUUAGUAUAGGUGAGGACGUGAAGCCAUUGCUACUGAGCCUCAGAUGUGGCAGCAAAGAAUUAAGAGAUCAUCACCAUCUCUCUCUCAAUGUAAUGAAAAUCUAACUUCACAACACUCCUCUUAAUCGAGCUUUCCUCAUGCUACUUGGCUAUGCAUUAAAUCUUGGCAUACACAAAAAAUAAAAAC
rnacentral:lncRNA from 1 species